AUUAUUUAUAGCCUCUGGCUAUAGGAAAUUGUUAGUGGCAGACGGGUGAGUAAUGCGUAGGAAUCUACCUAGUAGUACGGAAUAGCCAUUAGAAAUGGUGGGUAAUACUGUAUAAUCCCCGAGGGGGAAAGAUUUAUCGCUAUUAGAUGAGCCUACGUUAGAUUAGCUAGUUGGUGAGGUAAUGGCUUACCAAGGCUAUGAUCUAUAGCUGGUCUGAGAGGACGAUCAGCCACACUGGAACUGAGAUACGGUCCAGACUCCUACGGGAGGAAGCAGUGGGGAAUAUUGGACAAUGGGCGAAAGCCUGAUCCAGCUAUGCCGCGUGAGUGAAGAAGGCCUUCGGGU
rnacentral:rRNA from 1 species